rnacentral:misc_RNA from 1 species
AGCUCUCAAGCGAGUCUUUUUAUUAUUAAGAGACGAGUUUGGAUUUGAACUCUGCCGUGUAACAAACGGCUGGUUCUAAAAGUAUUAGCUGAUCCCUUAGUAAGGUCUUUGGUUCUUACUUGACGUGAUAAUUAUCUAUCGUCAAGGACGUCUCUUACUUCACUGUGAGAGAUGGCCAGAGUCUUGAUAAGGAUUGCUUCUAAUAGUCUUCACUUGACAAUUAUUUGAA